AGUGUUCAAAAGCAGNCCUAUGCUCUGAAUACAUUAGCAUGGAAAUAACGUGAUAGGACUCUGGUCCCUAUUGUGUUGGUCUUCGGGACCCGGAGUAAUGAUUAAUAGGGACAGUUGGGGGGCAUUCCGUAUUUCCAUUGUCAGAGGUGAAAUUCUUGGAUUUAUGAAAGACGAACUACUGCGAAAGCAUUUGCCAAGGAUGUUUUCAUUAAUCAAGAACGAAAGUUGGGGGCUCGAAGACGAUCAGAUACCGUCCUAGUCUCCAACCAUAAACGAUGCCGACUAGGGAUUUGGCGGAACACAUUUAUGACUCCGCCAGCACCUUGUGAGAAAUCAAAGUUUUGGGUUCCGGGGGGAGUAUGGUCGCAAGGCUGAGACUAAAGAAUGCG
rnacentral:rRNA from 1 species